UACGGAGGGUGCAAGCGUUGCUCGGAAUUAUUGGGCGUAAAGGGUAGGUAGGUGGUCUCAUUUGUCUGUGGUGAAAGCCUUGAGCUUAACUCAAGAAGUGCCGCAGAAACGGUGAGACUAGAGUUCUGGAGAGGGUCGUGGAAUUCCCGGUGUAGCGGUGAAAUGCGCAGAUAUCGGGAAGAACACCCGUGGCGAAGGCGGCUCUCUGGGACGGUACUGACGCUGAGACGCGAAAGCGUGGGGAGCGAACAGG
rnacentral:rRNA from 1 species